GGCUUGAUUCAUUGAUGGUUUAAAGUUUUCCUUUACUUCAAAUUUCAAAAUGGAACACUUAAGUCUCUAAGAGUGAUGGUAGUUCUGAUAGGUAGAUUCUUAAGACUAUAAAAAUUAAAAGAUAAAAGUCUGUUUGUCAAAUUAGGCAAUGUGGCACGAUUUUAAAGCGAAGCAUCUUUAAACUGCUACUGGUAUUUUUACUACCAGCAACUAUUACCUUAUUUGAGUUCUCCAAUUUAUGAAUUGUAGUAGAACAUGUAAGCUUUUAUAAAUUGUAGUAGAACAUGUAAGCUUUUCUUAAAGAAAUGGAUGUCAAGAAAUUUAUCUGAAUUAUUUGAGCUUGAAGCUGAUGAGGAGUCAGAAAGUUUUUACUUCAUUUGAAGCUGCUAGGAUAUUUAUUUAUAACUUUCUACCCUACAGAUUAUGUUGGUAUUAAUCAAUUGAAGCCGGUAGUCAAAAUGAACUAAUUGUUCGAAGUUUCUGACAAGCUAGACCUUCUUAAUCUCCUAGCACCAUCAUCAGCAGAAUCAAUACUCUUUUCAAAGUUCACGGCAAGAUUUUUAGGAAUGAGCUAUAUCUUCUCUAGCCUUGGCAUUAGAACUUUCACAAAAUGCAUGUUGAUGGAUUUUCAUGAAACUCAUCCCUGCCAAAUAGGGGUGGGCAUGGUAUGGUAGAUACCGAUUACCAUACCGAAAUUGAAUUUUUUAAUACCGCUGUUUUGGUAGUAUAGUGUUUGGUACGGUAUUUGAUAUACAUUUUAAGAGAGUCUGGUAUUUAGUACGGUAUUUGGUAUUCAUAAAGAAAAUACCAAAAUACCGAAUACCAUACCGAUGUAUAUAGUUACAUAUACAAUUCAUAUAUCUUAGUAUCAUAGUGCUAAAAAAUAUGUAAACUAAUAUUAUUAGAAAACUAAAACUUUGACUACUCUAUCUUGAUUUAAAUGUUUUUUUUGUGUAAUUGAUUUACGAAGGGGAUUGCUUGUACUUUCUUUUGAAUAUUUUUACAUGUAAGGUGUUAGUACAAUAUAAUUGAGACGUUUCUUGAGUAGCCAAAGUCAUAAUUCUCUACGAUAUGAGUAUAUGUAAGUCGAAGUCGAACCAACUAUGGUACCGAUUUACCGUACCGCAAAAUACCGAAAUCGAACUUAAAAAUACCGAACCAUCUUUUGAAUUAAUUGGGUAUGGUAAUGGUAUAGUACUUUUAGAAAUCGUAAACCGAAAUUACCGUACCGAAAUUUCAAAUACCGUACCAUACCAUACCAUGCUCACCCCUACUGCCAAGCUUUACCUCCAUUAGGUCUCCCAUAAAACCUAUAUGAUAUGUUUGCACAUGCGGAGCAAACUUUUCCCAUAAAACCUAUUUGAUACAUUUUAACAGCUAGAGAAUACCUUCAUCCGGAAUUUCAUUCUUGCCUUAUUGCAGCUGUUAUUUGAUAAAAGAAACAUUUAUCUAAUCACAAUUACAAUGAAAUCUAAAGCAGCCAUUUUUGAAGAAAAGGAAGACAGUGGUGCCGAUUCAUCCUUGCUCUUUGGCACCAAAAUUUGGAAAGCCGGCCUUGAGAGGAGCCAACAUCUUCUUAACCUAAAGAUUUCCCCGAUGUUAUAUAAAUAUGAACAUUAUUAUCAAAACCAAGUGCUCUAAGCAUAAGGCGAACAUCCUCAGGAGUUAGUGGGCAUAUUUUACAUUCCUUCUUUCUUUGAAGCAACAUGUUUAAUGUAUGCCUUUUCUACUUGAUUCGUCGAACACUUAACUCUGUUGGAUAGAUAUUAGAGCUACCAUUCUUUAAGCUCGCUGGUAUAGAGAAGAAGAGUUGUUUAAUUGGAGUCUUGAGAGGAAACGGAACUAGAAAGCUCGACGAAAGGGAUAAGCUGUAUGAAUUUUCAGAAUAUCCUUAUCCACGAAGGGAAAGAACUAAAAGACCACUAUCAUACACAGGUUAGGUUUUCAAUAAGCAUUAGCGCUAUUUUUACAGCUUGCAUACGCCAAUUUGUUUUGUUUUACAAUUGAAAGCCGGCUACCACAAAUAGCAAGCUGGCAAUUUAAGUCCCAAGGGAUGGAAAAACUUCGCCCUUAAAGCUGAUAGAUGCAUUAGUAAUGAGCAGAAAGACAUUGCACAACUCUUUGCUCCUUAACUUGCUACUUCAGGAAACCUCAUUCAAUUGAUUCUACAGCUUUGAAGAUGUAUUGGGAGUUUAUGAACAAGGAGCUCCGGGUUUUCUUAAGCAUCCAAUGCAACACGUUGUGAGAGGUAAUUGACUUUAGCUAGACACCCCUCUGUAAUUAUUCCUUUGCGUUGCGUUUUCCUAAAAUUGUACGUUGUAGAAACAAAGUGAGCAAGCUUGGAUGUCAGAUGAAGAAUUUGGAAGACAGAUGCUAGCUGGAUUAAAUUCCAUGUGCAUUCUGAGCUCAUCUUUAUUUAAAGCAUUAACAAAUUUGAAAUUUGGUUCGACAUAUGGGUGGAGAGAUUACUGUAAUUGGGCCCAUCUUUGGCACGAGCUGCUUUUAGAACGUGAUUUACUUUUUGCCGCUAAACUAAGCAGAAAUAUUUCAGUGAAAGGGCUUCUUAAAUCUUUACAGAUUCUAUUUGCAAGCUUCUGCUGCAAGAGAAAAGAAAGCUGGAUGAGGGAUUGAAAAAAUUGAGCGAACUUAUAAUAUGCCUUCAGCUAAGAAGCUUCUUGAACUCCUAUUAGCUGGCAUUGGUAGUUGUAGAAGAACUGAGGAUUGGGCCUAAAGUAAUCAAGAAGCUGGAGACUUCAUCUUUAUGCAAGAAGAUGAAGGCGAGUAAUUACAUUUUGCCUGGACUCAACAACACUGCCCAAAAGAUCAACUUCGGGUUCAUAUGGAGCGAAAUCCUUCUAACAUGGCAAUAGAUUUAGUUAUUCCCGCACUCAAGGUGAAAAGAUCAUGGUACGCUUGACCAUUAUAAGUUUGGUAGCAGACAUAAGAUGGGAAAGAAAACCAAUUCAACUCUUUGUCUGGGGCUGAGUUUCAUAAGCAUAUAAUUCCUCGGUA